rnacentral:rRNA from 1 species
GCCCAGACUCCUACGGGAGGCAGCAGUGAGGAAUAUUGGUCAAUGGGCGGAAGCCUGAACCAGCCAAGUCGCGUGGGGGAUUAAGGCCCUGCGGGUCGUAAACCUCUUUUGCCGGGGAGCAGAGGUCCGGACGUGUCCGGGCCGGGAGAGUACCCGGAGAAAAAGCAUCGGCUAACUCCGUGCCAGCAGCCGCGGUAAUACGGAGGAUGCGAGCGUUAUCCGGAUUUAUUGGGUUUAAAGGGUGCGUAGGCGGGACCUUAAGUCAGCGGUAAAAUUGCGGUGCUCAACGCCGUAGAGCCGUUGAAACUGGGGUUCUUGAGUGAGCGAGAAGUAUGCGGAAUGCGUGGUGUAGCGGUGAAAUGCAUAGAUAUCACGCAGAACCCCGAUUGCGAAGGCAGCAUACCGGCGCUCAACUGACGCUGAGGCACGAAAGUGCGGGUAUCGAACAGGAUUAGAUACCCGCGUAAA